ACGGGAGGCAGCAGUCGGGAAUCUUGCGCAAUGGGCGAAAGCCUGACGCAGCAACACCGUGUGGGCGACGAAGGCCUUCGGGUCGUAAAGCCCUGUUGUUGGGGACGAAGGGCGAAGGGUUAAUAGCCCCUAGCCUGACGGUACCCUUCGAGGAAGCCCCGGCUAACUACGUGCCAGCAGCCGCGGUAAUACGUAGGGGGCGAGCGUUGUCCGGAAUUAUUGGGCGUAAAGAGCGUGUAGGCGGUUCGGUAAGUCUGCCGUGAAAACCUGGGGCUCAACCCCGGGCGUGCGGUGGAUACUGCCGGGCUAGAGGGUGGUAGAGGCGAGUGGAAUUCCCGGUGUAGCGGUGAAAUGCGCAGAUAUCGGGAGGAACACCAGUAGCGAAGGCGGCUCGCUGGGCCAUUCCUGACGCUGAGACGCGAAAGCUAGGGGAGCGAACAGGAUUAGAUACCCUGGUA
rnacentral:rRNA from 1 species